rnacentral:rRNA from 1 species
GAUGAACGCUGGCGGCGUGCUUAACACAUGCAAGUCGAACGAUGAAGCCCAGCUUGCCGGGUGGAUUAGUGGCGAACGGGUGAGUAACACGUGAGUAACCUGCCCUUAACUCUGGGAUAAGCCUGGGAAACUGGGUCUAAUACCGGAUAGGAGCGUCCACCGCAUGGUGGGUGUUGGAAAGAUUUAUCGGUUUUGGAUGGACUCGCGGCCUAUCAGCUUGUUGGUGAGGUAAUGGCUCACCAAGGCGACGACGGGUAGCCGGCCUGAGAGGGUGACCGGCCACACUGGGACUGAGACACGGCCCAGACUCCUACGGGAGGCAGCAGUGGGGAAUAUUGCACAAUGGGCGCAAGCCUGGUGCAGCGACGCCGCGUGAGGGAUGACGGCCUUCGGGUUGUAAACCUCUUUCAGUAGGGAAGAAGCGAAAGUGACGGUACCUGCAGAAGAAGCACCGGCUAACUACGUG